rnacentral:rRNA from 1 species
AGCGAACGCUGGCGGCAGGCUUAACACAUGCAAGUCGAACGGUCCUUCGGGAUAGUGGCGGACGGGUGAGUAACACGUGGGAACGUACCCUUAGGUUCGGAACAACACAGGGAAACUUGUGCUAAUACCGGAUAAGCACUUCGGGGGAAAGAUUUAUCGCCUUUGGAGCGGCCCGCGUCUGAUUAGCUUGUUGGUGAGGUAAUGGCUCACCAAGGCUACGAUCAGUAGCUGGUCUGAGAGGAUGGCCAGCCACACUGGGACUGAGACACGGCCCAGACUACUACGGGAGGCAGCAGUGGGGAAUCUUGCGCAAUGGGCGAAAGCCUGACGCAGCCAUGCCGCGUGGAUGAUGAAGGUCUUAGGAUUGUAAAAUCCUUUCACCGGGGACGAUAAUGACGGUACCCGGAGAAGAAGCCCCGGCUAACUUCGUGCCAGCCGCCGCGGUAA